rnacentral:misc_RNA from 1 species
GCUGCAGAGUAACAGGUGUGACCGGCUCACAAAUCAAUCAUUUGUCGCCAGGGCGGCUGUCGUAGUCGACGACCUCGGCGUCGGUGACGGAGCGGGAGUGCUGGACGAUGGAGCGCCCGAUGGAGUUGAUCCACUCCUCCUUCUCCUUCUCGGUGUCAGCAAUGAAGUACAUGGUCUCGCGCGGCGUGGAGAGCUCGAAGGCGUAGGGUCGGUUGAGGACGUCCUCGGCGCCCUUGACGGUGAGGCAGGAGGCGACAGGGAUGACACCGCGGGGCACGGAAGCGCGCGUGACGGUCGAUUCCUUGAACCAGAAGAGCCGCCCCUGCUUGAGCACGAACCACCGCCGCCGCCAUGUCUUGAUAUACUCGCCUUGCUUGGUCAGCCAACCCACGCGCUCCGGGGCGCGCCAGAACUCAACGCCGCCGCCCGAGGAGUCGGUGGUGUUCGUGGACGCCGCGCCGGUGCCCAUCACCGCCCGCCACAAACUCGCCGCCAUGGGGUUGUGGAGAAUUUUGGGAUCCGAUCGGGUAGGCGACCACCGUUCUUUUCUUCUUUUCGCGAAGGGGUU